rnacentral:rRNA from 1 species
CCUACGGGGCGCACCAGUGGGGAAUAUUGCACAAUGGGCGCAAGCCUGAUGCAGCCAUGCCGCGUGUAUGAAGAAGGCCUUCGGGUUGUAAAGUACUUUCAGCGGGGAGGAAGGUGUUGUGGUUAAUAACCGCAGCAAUUGACGUUACCCGCAGAAGAAGCACCGGCUAACUCCGUGCCAGCAGCCGCGGUAAUACGGAGGGUGCAAGCGUUAAUCGGAAUUACUGGGCGUAAAGCGCACGCAGGCGGUCUGUCAAGUCGGAUGUGAAAUCCCCGGGCUCAACCUGGGAACUGCAUUCGAAACUGGCAGGCUAGAGUCUUGUAGAGGGGGGUAGAAUUCCAGGUGUAGCGGUGGAAUGCGUAGAGAUCUGGAGGAAUACCGGUGGCGAAGGCGGCCCCCUGGAUAAAGACUGACGCUCAGGUGCGAAAGCGUGGGGAGCAAACAGGAUUAGAUACCCGAGUAGUC